rnacentral:lncRNA from 10 species
GCGUGAACCCAGGAGGCGGAGCUUGCAGUGAGCUGAUAUCGUGUCACUGCACUCCAGCCUGGGCAACAGAGCAAGACUCCGUCUCAAAAAUAAAUAAAUAAAUAAAUAAAUAAUGGUAUGUGGGCUGGGUGCAGUGGCUCACACCUGUAAUUCCAGUGUGAUUUGGGAGGCCAAAGUGGGAGGAUCACUUGAGUCUAGGAGUUUGAGACCAGCCCUGGCAACACAGCAACAGCCUACCUCUAUAGGAAACAAACGAACGAACAAACAAAAAAGUCUUAAAAUUGGUGUUGUCUGAGAUUCGAUGGAAUACAACAGAUGCCCGACCUGGGCUCUUUUUAUUUCUCCAUCACCAAAGGAACUCAGAGUAAAAAUGCUGAGAGAGGUGCAGGGCCGCCCACGUAGACGCUGGACGGAGGGAUGUCGCUCUCCACCUGCCGACUUUUGGCAGAAGCACCCUCCCGUCACGUGCAAAGCUGACGUGUUUCUGAAAUGAUGCUCUUUCCCAGAUCUGUGCAGGCUCCAGGCUCUCCCCUGCUUGGCAGCCACACAAGGGCGUACUCCUUUUCCUGCUGUCUUCAGGAGUUCAUGCCCAUUCUGCAGCUGAGCUGGACAUGGGGCGAGUUGAUUAGGGCAGAGGGGCGCAGGUCCCAGCUCAUUUGUCCAUCCUGGUUGCCAGAGAGCAGGCUCCUCUGUUUCAAAAACCUUCCAUCAACAGAUUGCAGCAGCAGGAGGUCCCCACUCAUCAGGACUGCCUGACUUUUUCUUUUCCUUCUCUCUUUUUUUUUUUUUUUUUAAGAGACAGGGCCUCACUCUGUCACCCAGGCUGGAGUGCAGUGGUGUGCUCACAGCUCACUGCAGCCUCAAACUCCCAGGCUGAAGUGAUCUUCCCACUUCAGCUUCCCAAGUAGCUGGGACUUACAGGUGCACACCACCAUGCCUGCCUAAUUUUUUUAUAAAAUGUUUUGUAGAGAUGGGGUCUCGCUAUGUUGACCAGGCUGGUCUUGAACUCCUAGGCGCAGGUGAUCCUCCUGCCCUGGCCUCCCAAAGCUCUGGGAUUACAGGUGUGAGUGACUGUGCCUGGCCUCCCUGCCUUUCUUAUACGCAUUACGUUUAAGGCUCUGGAAAGGCACCAAAAGGUCUGUUACUCCCAAGAGCAGCCUGUCGUGCCAGCCUGAGCUCGGCGAUGCCCAGAUGACCAGCACCCUGCAGAGUAGGGUGGCAGAGCCCAGAGUGCACGGAGGGCGUGGAACGCAUAGUGACUUGCAGCCUCAUCGUGGAGCGCACAGUGACUCGGCCUCCAUCGUGGUAUGAGAAAAGGACUGCCUCACGGUCUCGUGGGAAAGCAGACUCCUGGCCAGUGCCCUCUAGCCAACAGGAUGGGCGGAUGCGCAGGCCACAGAGUCCCUGGUUGGUGAGGAAGCUGCCAAUCCUGGUCAUCUCUUGGAGCCGGGCGGGGGUCAGAGUGUGGCUGGAGCACGAUUCACAGCCUCCCAAAGGUGGAAAGCACCAAGCAGGGGCCCAUUAGGGCAAACAGGUGAGCACAACGUGGUCUGUCCAUGCAACGGGCACUACUCAGCAGUGAAAAGCCAGGAGGCACUGACACGCUGCAGCUGGGAUGGACCUUGAAGAUGUGAUGCAACGUUAAAGAAGCCAGGCAGAAAAGGCCCAUUGCUGUGAAACGUCUGGAACAGGCAAAUCUACAGAGACAGAGCAUGGAUUUGUGGUUGCCUGGGGCUGGGGACGAGGGGCAGACAAAGCGACUGCUCAUGGGCACGGGGUUUCCUUUUGGGGGUGAAGACGAUGUGACUGUCAACACCGAGCAUGCUAAGACCCACUGGACUGUACACCGUAAGUGAAUGAAUUACACAGUGUGGAAAUCACAUCUCAAUAGAGCUACUGAACAGCACAGACCUUGCUCAGAGUUAGGGCUGCUGUUCUGGGUGGGACCUGCGUUCAAGUCCGAGCUCUCACCGUCAUCUCACCCUCCCUGACCUCAGUUUUUUUUUUGAGACAGAGUCC